UGGUCAGCCAAGUACUCCUUGUAAUUCAGAAGUGCCACUCACUUCUCUAGAUACAGGAGACUUCAGCAGAGACCAAUUCACUACAGUAGGACUUUUUCAACUUUGUAAAAAUAAACGCUGGCAUUUAAAGUUACCUUAAAAAAGCUAAGUAGCUGACUGUUGGUUGUCCAUCUCCACAGAACACUUUCAAGCAGGGAGUUUAUUUCUACAUUGAAUUUAACUUAAACCCAAAAAAGGGAACUUCUGUUUGCAAAGCAACUACUCAGGAUGUGACUGUUGUUUCCUAAUAUAGCCAUGUGACCUGGCUUUUUUUUUUUUUUUUUUUAAAGACACUGCAAAAGAGCUAAAUCCAGAGAAUUUCGGUGAAACCACUCCAUUGCCAAAACCUCAGAAUGAUCUUACUAACAAGCUGGAUAUCAGUCCUAACAACAUUUCUUCUUUCCUUACAUUUCUGGAGAGCAAAGGUCUAUGCCUCUGGAAAUUCAGAGGAGGAAAUAGAUUUCACAUAUGUUAUCAUAGGAGUUACUCUGGGAACCUUUCUAUCAGUUGCUUUUGUAGCAGUAAUAAUCUGUAUGAUCAGAAAAAAUAUGCUUGACAAUGCCUUUGGAGAAUCAGAUGGCAAAAUGGAUAGAAGGUAAGACUCCUUGCUCCUGGUGUUUUCCAAGGUCUAGUGGAACAUACAAACUGUAAUGUUUAAUUACUCUCUCUCUUUAUGCAUAAUGCUUACCCACAACUGUGAUUUCCACAAUAUAUAACAUAUAUGCAAGCCUCUGGAGAAUCAUGACACCUAUCAUGAUAUCUACUGGAGCUGCAUGGAAAAAGGAUGUUCCAUAUAACAGAGGAUUUUGACAUUUCAGAAUUAGGAAAGAAAUCUCAGCAGACCGAGAUUCUUUCUAAAAAAAAAAUCCCUUGAACACUUUUGAUGUUGAUGUUUUAGUUUGUGCUACAUAUUAUAAUAGCAAGCUCACAAAAAAGAAAGCAUUUUUGAGGGCUGCAAGCCAAAGACCUUGUUUCAAAGGUGCUGAAGUUGGACGUUCUUUGGUAUUGCUAGAACUUUUCAACAUUUUAUCUGAAACAAAGUUUGACUAUAUUGACAUAUUUGACUAUAUUGACACUUUAGAUUUAAACAAAAAUGUGUAAUUCAGGUCAAAUGGCUUCAUCAAAAUUUUCCCAAACACUGUGACUAGAUCUCGAUUCUGGGAACUGCCUUCAACAGACCUUAYAGAGCAAGGCCACGCAGUGGUCAUUCCUGCUGCAAGGGAUGCAUUUUUGCCCUUCACCUUCCUCCCUCCUACCAGGCAUGGUGAGAGCCUCCUCCACAGGCACAAGAGGCAGUGCUAGACUGCCUAGACAAUCGCCGCUCCUCAUCUCCUCUGAGGAGUGGGCAGUAGCGUGGAGAUGUACACAGGGGUCUGCAAGUUGUCCUUUGGAUCAUGGUAACCCACAUGUAUAGAUAUGUUUUGCUUCCCUGUAAGAUUUUAUAAAUGAGUAAAAAAAUGCAUGAAUUAAUCAGCAUUCUCAUGAACUGAAGGCAGCAGCUGUACUCAAUGACCUGAAAAAAAGGCUCUUGGCCUCUCUGGGGGAGGUGGAUAGAAGCACUAAUGGGCUUGUCCCCAUCAGGGUCAUUCUUCAUAGAGG
rnacentral:lncRNA from 1 species